AUUGACCGCUUGCGGCAGGCCUAACACAUGCAAGUCGGGCGAGCGGCGGACGGGUGAGUAAUGUAUGGGGAUCUGCCUGAUGGCGGGGGAUCACUACUGGCAACGUUAGCUAAUACCGCAUACCAUCAGAUGAACCCAUAUGGGAUUAGCUGGUAGGUCAGGGAACGGGUUACCUAGGCGACGGUCUCUAGCUGGUCUGAGCGGAUGAUCAGCAAGGCUGGGCAUGAGAAACGUCCCAGACUCCUUCGGGAGGCAGCAGUGGGGAAUAUUGGACAAUGGGAGCAAGCCUGAUGCAGGCAUGACGCGUGUAGUAAGAAGGCCUUAGGGUUGUAAAGUAAUUGCAGCGGGGAGGCGUUGCCGACAGAAGAAGUACCGGCUAACUCCGUGCCAGCAGCCGCGGUAAUUC
rnacentral:rRNA from 1 species